rnacentral:rRNA from 1 species
AUACGAGUGGUGCAAGCGUUAUUCGGAAUUACAGGGCGUAAAGGGUGUGUAGGCGGCGCAUUAAGUCAAUCGUUAAAUCUCUCGGCCUAACUGAGAGUUUGCGGUAGAUACUGAUGUGCUAGAGUGUGGAAGAGAGAAGUGGAAUUCUCGGAGUAGCGGUAAAAUGCGUAGAUCUCGAGAGGAACACCGAUGGCGAAGGCAGCUUCUUGGUCCAUUACUGACGCUGAGACACGAAAGCGUGGGGAGCAAACAGGAUUAGAAACCCCGGUAGUCC